GCCUAACAUCUAGCCCACACCAUACUCAUGAACCUUUUUCCACCCCCACGUACACAACAAAACAUUUUACCUCUUUAGUACAGGCGAUCGAAAAACUUAUAGGCGCUUCAGAUUAAGUACCGCAAGGGAAAGAUGAAAUAAAAAUGAAACAACUUAAAGCCCUAAACAGCAGAG
rnacentral:rRNA from 1 species